AGGGUUUGAUUAUGGCUCAGGACGAACGCUGGCGGUGCGCCUUAUGCAUGCAAGUCGAGCGAAGCUUUUCAGUAGUUUACUACAGAAAAUGACUGAGCGGCGAACGGGUGAGUAACGCGUGAGCAACCUACCUUAGUUACUGGGAUAGCCCGAGGAAACUCGGAUUAAUACCGGAUAUUCUUAUUUAAUCACAUGAUUUUUUAAGGAAAGGUCAGCCGAACUAAGAUGGGCUCGCGUUCUAUCAGCUAGUUGGUAGGGUAAUGGCCUACCAAGGCUACGACGGAUAGCUGGUCUGAGAGGACGAUCAGCCACACUGGGACUGAGACACGGCCCAGACUCCUACGGGAGGCUGCAGCAGGGAAUAUUGCGCAAUGAGCGAAAGCUUGACGCAGCGACACCGCGUGUGGGAUGACGGAUCUAGGUUUGUAAACCACUUUCAGGAGGGAAGAAAAUGACGGUACCUCCACAAGAAGCCCCGGCCAACUACGUGCCAGCCGCCGCGGUAAUAC
rnacentral:rRNA from 1 species